CUUCUGAAAGGUUGCCGACCCCUGAUCUAAGGUGUGGAGUGGACAGCUGAAGUCCAGCUGCAGGAAUAUGAAGCCUAAAACUAAGCCCACUACAAACUUUCCCUACUCCUCAUUUCAGUUACUGUAUUUCCAGUCCUUCCCUGCCAUUGAACCCCAGUUUGCCUUGGGCACGAAUAACUUAUUUGGCAGUUGUUUUCGAAUCUCUCAUUAGUUUCGCACUCAGUACUGGGAUUUAUUUUACAGUAGUUGUGCAAAACAGGACAGCAAAAGAAACGUGAGGGAACCUGGGAAGCAAUAGGAUGAUGGGAUUUUAAUCCCCAUCCCAUAAAGAAAAAGGGAAUUAAGAGAGUAAGAAAUUUGCAACAUGGUUCAGAAGUCAGUGGGAAAUGGGCCUUCCCAAGUAUAUCUUUUCUAAGCCUUUUACUGUCAUUCCUACCCUUUAGCAAGCCAGCAUACAUCUACCCUGACACAGACAAUUGUGUUUUGAAAUUUAGACUAGAAAAAUCUAGCUGAAGGUUUCCAGUGGGCUCUACACCAGACUCAUCACCCUAUUUCUCUUUACCAGAAAUUGAGCUCUAACUAGCACACAGAUAGAUAGGUGUGGUGGGCUGUAUUCCAUCCUUUGAGAAAUGUUUAAUGAUAUUAUUCCAAGACAAGCGUUGUAACGGAACAGCACAGUGUUUCUGGAGUGCCACAUAGCCUCUGGGGUUGGGUCUAUAAGUAGUACAAGAACUCUCCACUGGUAAGCAAAUCCAGUUCUUCUGCACACCCACAUUCUGAGUGGUAAUGUCACGUAAUCACACUUUGUUUUACACAGAAUGUCUAGUUGUAACUUUGAGUUGCAUUUUUUUUCCUUUUCCAACUGAAGUCAUCCAACAGCCCAGGGUCCCAGGUUUGGACUUGUCUGAUUUCCUUCUCUCCCCACCCCACUCCCACUUUUUGCUUGCUUUCUCAAAGUGCUUGGCUUGAUUUGCCCUAAGACUAGCACAGAACAAUGUUUUUGUAAUUCUUUUGAGUUAAUAUAUGGCAAAGUUCUGGACACACUUGGUCUCCUCUCCCUUGUCUGAAUGCCAGGGCUUAUUUGUUUCAGUGACUGUGAAUAAUCCAGUGUGUGUUCUAGGUUUCCUUACCUUAACAAUUACUAUAAGUAUACAAAUUGCAAUAGGUAGGUACUGCAUGCAUUCCAGACUCUUCCUAUCGGUUUCUCCAUUAUCAUUCUAUAUCAGGAAUUCUUCAGUUUACUUGAAAUAAAAAAAAAAAAAGUAGAGAGGGGGAAAUUUUCAAGGAUUGCUAGGAUCUAAAAACCAUCUGUUGGACAAUGGCAUUCACAUUUGGCACUUCUGAUAAGAUCAAGGUAUGGUCAUGGAAAGCUAGAUUGCUUUAUGGUCUCUCUAUUUAAGAAAAUUAUGCAGAAAACAAUCCAUAUUUUGAGAUGAACCCUUCUACAUAUUUCCAGGAAUGUGCAAUCCUCUGAUUAGGGAAUACAUAGCUUAAUAUCUGCAAUGACUAGUCUAUGAUGCAACCAUCAUUAACUACGCACUGUAGAAAAGUGCACUCCUUAGGGCAAGAUCCCUAUCCUUUAGUCUACUACUGUCUUCUUUUGUCUACUCUUUUCAUAAUGGGCAGGAUUUUCAAAGGGACUAAUGAUUUUGGGUGCCCAGUUUGAGACACCUUCAAGGGGCCUGACAUCAGAGGGGGUUUGUUUGGGUGCUCUGUUUGCUACCUGAUUUUUUUUUUUUUUUUCCAGAAACAGUCACUAGUCCACUUUUUUGAAAAUCUUGGCCAAUGAUCUAAAGACUGUUAAGCUCCUUAGCACAAAGACCUUAUCUUUCACUAAAACACACUGAACACCUAAUGCUAUUGCAAGCAAUAUUAGUGCUCUCCUUUCCUUUCUCCUCCAAUCACUCCCAAGGUAGUGGUUGAUCUAGUAUACCCUAUAUCCUUCACAACCUUAGCCCGCCCUCCAUUCUAACUUUACUGGGUACAUGAACUCUAACAUUAUUCCCAGUAAGCUAAAUUUUGCUUCUACAGCACCACCCACUAGAAUAAGGUAUACAUUUUUAACAGGGAGGGUAAUUAAUCAUUGGAACAACUUAGCAAGGGCAAAUAUUGCAUGUUAUGCUAAUAGGAGUGUGUUUUUUUUAUUGGAGGGAAUACCUGUGAGACUUAUCUGGGCUGUGAUAAGAUGUGCUUCUUGAUGUAUAAUACAAACGAACACAUCCCAUUGGGUAUCUUAUGAGGUAGUAUUGCUGGGGUGAGGGGAGAAGAGUUGCUGACACUCGGGCCAUAAAAGGGGACUCCAUGCUACAUCAGCAGUGUACUUAUCAAUAGUAUGGCUCCUUCGAACAUCUUACCUUACAAAUGUGUAAUUAUCACUGUUUAUGUAUAUACUGGAGAGCUGAAAAUAUUCUCAGACUUGAACAAUAAGUGAAAUCCUAGUAUUUCUAGCAACAGGCAAGCAGAAUCUACCAGGAAGGCUGAAAAUAACUUGCUCCAAAUGAGACUGAUCUCAUGCCCUAGAAUGGCUCUACAGUGUAUGUCUCACAUAAACGCAGGUAUUUUAUAACUAUGCAGAAAACUUGCUGGAACUGUUCUGUAUGAUGUGUUCCAUCAAGAGAGCUGUAUUGCUGUUGGGAAGCAAAUCAUCACUCCCCAUUAUUGUGAGCUGUGGUAUUUGACACCUACCAAGAUAAUGAUUUCAAAAUCUUGGGGAAAUCAGGAUGCUAGUGAAAUAAUAGACUUCUGCUUUCAGGAAUGCAGUGUUUGCAGUGUAUUUGUGUCCUUGUGUAAUAAAUGGUUCUUAAAUGCA